GUGAAACAAAUGCAAUCGAGUGCUUCUUCUUCCAUUCGAUUGAUCUUAUUUCUAGAUUAUAAUUAGCGAUAUUUCAUUCUUCAAUCGUACCUUCUAAUCAAAUUGACUACAUCGAAAAUCGAGAACUUGUUUCGCGCUGUUUUUACGAAAUCGGGAAAUGAGAGGAGUCCUACCAAGUCGAAUCGAAUCGAAGAUGUCUGUGUUGGGGUAGAUAAAUUCAAUAAUUGGCGGAUUCGGUUUUCAACCAUGAGUAUAAGACUGAAGUGGUAAUCAAUUUGAUUGGGUUGAACGCUUCAGGGUAUCAAGUGACAUGUAUUUUCAUCAACAUCAGUUUCUUACCACAGAUUUCAUGUUUCUUGAGCGAAAAAUAGAAAGAUGAGUUCCUAAUUCAUUUUUUUUUCUUACAACAUUGGCGAUUACUGUAUUGUGAUAACUUAUUAGAUACUACAGUGUAACGUAAAUUUAAGAUACAUAAUAAGAUGACAUAUUUCCUUUUAGAUUUGAAUUGAUAUAGUUAGUGUUUGAUAAUUGGGAACUAAUUGAAUAUAAUGCACUUUUAUGUAUCAGCUUCGAGUGGUUUGUGAGGAGAAUGGAUUCCAUUCAUUGGCUGUCAAGUUUUUGAUCUCAAAGAAGGAGAUUUAGAGGAUCACAAUAAAAGGAUUGAAGCGCACAUGUGUCAGAGGAAGAGAGAUGUUGACUCGUAGGUGUUUGAGUUUUUGAAUGGCUUGGUAUUGAUUUAAAUCGUUUCAAGGGUUACACUACCAGAUGCCCUUAUCAUGGUUUUAGCAAUGCUUCAUUACUCAGUACACUAUACCGAGGAGUGGUCCCUAAGAUACGGAUGUUGCUGGACACCGCAAGCAAUGGUAACUUCCUCAACAAAGAUGUCGAUGAAGGUUGGGAUCUAGUGGAGAACUUGGCUCAAUCUGAUGGGCAAUACAAUAAGGAGUACGAUCGCACUGUGCGAUCUACUGGAGAGGAAGAUGCCAAGUACAAGAGGGACAUAAAAACCCUCAAUGACAAGCUCGAUAAGCUCCUCAACCAGCAGCAGCAUGUCCAUGCAAUCUCAGAGGAAGAGCAGUUUCUACAACAAGAUGGGGAGAAUGCUCAGCUAGAGGAUGUGAACUACAUCAACAACCAAGGAGAUUACAACAAAGGGUACAACAACUACAAACCGAAUCCGAAUCUAUCCUACUAUAACCCAAAUGUUGCAAACCCUCAAGACCAAGUCUACCCAUCCGCCAUUCAAGGGGAUCUUAAAUGAUUUUAUUUUUGAUUAUUUGUUUUGCUAGAAUUUGAAGGAGAUGAUGUUGUGUGGACUAUCCGGGUUUUCAUUCAUAUUUAAGGUAACACAUUAUUUUCAGCGACAUUACAUUUUUAUACAGUUCGAUUAAGUUAA